AAGUCGUAACAAGGUUUCCGUAGGUGAACCUGCGGAAGGAUCAUUGUCGAUAUAUUCGAGGGAGACCUCGUUCAAUAUAUAUUACAAUUACACAAACACCUCGUGCACCCUCUAACGUGAAAGGGAAGGAGUUCACGCUCCUCUCCGUUUUCCGUUUUUUUCUUCUUAUACAAACACCUUCUGUCGUUUAACGCGUGUAUUUUUGAGUAAUUUGAAAUUGACACAACUUUCAACAACGGAUCUCUUGGCUUUC
rnacentral:misc_RNA from 1 species